GAUGAAGAACGUAGCGAAAUGCGAUAAGUAAUGUGAAUUGCAGAAUUCAGUGAAUCAUCGAAUCUUUGAACGCACAUUGCGCCCCCUGGUAUUCCGGGGGGCAUGCCUGUCCGAGCGUCAUUACAACCCUCAAGCUCAGCUUGGUAUUGGGCCCCGCCGACCCGGCGGGCCCUAAAGUCAGUGGCGGUGCCGUCCGGCUCCGAGCGUAGUAAUUCUUCUCGCUCUGGAGGUCCGGUCGUGUGCUCGCCAGCAACCCCCAAUUUUUUUCAGGUUGACCGCGGAUCAGGUAGGGAUACCCGCUGAACUUAAGCAUAUCAAUAAGCGGAGGA
rnacentral:misc_RNA from 1 species